GCACCCGUCCUUCACUUCUGGGUGAAGCAGAAACCAGAGAGACCAGCUCCAAAGAAGAGAUGUUCUCCCACCAAGAAAAACUUCAAAAAGAAAGGAGUGUGGACUUAACAAGAUUGAUGAACCUGAGGACUCCUCCGCUAGUUGUUCGGAUCCUGGUCUCGACACCAACAUGGCUAUACUUCAACCUGACCUGGCAACAUCCCCAUCACCGACUGCACUGCCAUCACAGACCACAUCUUCACCAUGCUUACCUGACAAACUUUU